GUAUGUAGCUUAGUGAUACAGCAUGUGCCUUGCAUGCUUGAAGUCCUAGAUUCAAGCUCUAGCAUUAACA
rnacentral:tRNA from 1 species